CCACAUCACAAUUCACAAUAACUGAGAAACUGCUCAAGUUAUUCCAAUAUUAAAACAAUCUUUCAGUAUUUCAACAAUGUGUGAUGUCAUUUCCUUCGUCAUAUAGAGAGGGAUCAGUUCAGUUUAUUUUAUCCUCCUCCCACUAUCAGAUGAGUUCAGUUCAGUGUCCGUCUUUAGCAGCAGAAGUCCAACAUGAUCACAGCUCUCCUUAUUCUAGCACUUCAUCAUUUUUCUGGUCAAGUGGAUGGAAGUGGUGUUUUCCAGAUGCCUGAUAUAAUCUGGGGUUCUCUAGGGAACUCUGCAGAAAUGAACUGCAGUCACAAUAAGGAUAUUACUUACAGACAGAUGUACUGGUUUAAGCAGCUUCCAGGAGAGGGAAUUACACUCCUUGUAUUCACAUCAGUUGGUGGUGAACCAGAUUAUGGGAAAUUCAGUAAAGACAAAUAUGAAGCAAUUAAGACUGUAGCUGAGAGUGGUUCUUUAACAGUGAAGACCUUGGAUCAAGGAGACGAUGCUUUGUAUUUCUGUGCUGUGAGCCAACACUGUGGUGAAAACUCACUACAGCGCUGAACAAAUACUGAAAGAACUAAUGAGAAUGUGUAGACAUUCAUGUGGUCUAUAGGAGGUGCUGGAGUUUCAUAUAUUCACUCAUUUAAAAGAGGUUUUAUAUGAAGCACCUUAUGUUAGCAGUAGAAUAAAUCCAAGGCAUGCGUGUGAGCAGUUUAGAGAGCUUGCUUAAGACAGUGCUAGGUUUUGAACUCACAGAACUUACCCAGACCUUAAACAAAGAGCUCCACUGUGUCACAUAAAGUGGAUGGAGACUAUGAGUUGGUAUAGCUUUUGCCUUAAGUCAUAUAAACCAUUACAUUUGGAUUGUGAGGCUUUAUAUAUAGUUAAUCUUGUACUAUUUUGUGAUAGACAAGCUCUCUGUGCAGUAUUCAAUGACUUAUUUUCUGUAUAGGCUUAAACAUUUUCAUAAUGAUCCCCAAAUAGAAAAAUACAGUUUGUGCACACGUUUUAUUUUACUUGUUCUGUGAUGAUUCUUGCGUUAUUUUCUGU